rnacentral:rRNA from 1 species
CCUACGGGAGGCAGCAGUGGGGGAUAUUGCACAAUGGGGGAAACCCUGAUGCAGCGACGCCGCGUGGGCGAAGAAGUAUUUCGGUAUGUAAAGCCCUAUCAGCAGGGAAGAAGAAAUGACGGUACCUGAGUAAGCAGCACCGGCUAAAUACGUGCCAGCAGCCGCGGUAAUACGUAUGGUGCAAGCGUUAUCCGGAUUUACUGGGUGUAAAGGGAGCGCAGGCGGCACGGCAAGCCUGAUGUGAACGCCCGGGGCCCAACCGCGGGACUGCAUUGGGAACUACCGGGCUGGAGUGCCGGAGAGGUAGGCGGAAUUCAUAGUGUAGCGGUGAAAUGCGUAGAUAUUAGGAGGAACACCAGUGGCGAAGGCGGCCUACUGGACGGUGACUGACGCUGAGGCUCGAAAGCGUGGGGAGCAAACAGGAUUAGAUACCCGUGUAGUC